rnacentral:pre_miRNA from 1 species
UAAAUGACUCAUGAUGAAGUUUGGGUUAAAUAACUCAUCAUUCAAUCACAUUGGAGAUAAGUGAGUUGGAGUUGAAAAUAAAUUAAUAAAUAAAAUAUAGAAAUUUCAACUCACUUAUCUUAAAUGUGAUUGGAUUAUGUGUUAUUUAACCCAAACUUUUCUUGGGUCAUUUA